AGACUGGAUGACAGUAGUGUUAGGAAGUGCCGUCAGGAGCGGAAACUGACGUUUAUGCUUUUCUGAUC
ensembl:snoRNA small nucleolar RNA, C/D box 49B